rnacentral:rRNA from 1 species
GACGGGAGAUGCUAGCGUUGUUCGGAAUCAUUGGGCUUAAAGCGCGUGUAGGCGGCUCGGUAAGUACCUUGUGAAAUCCCACGUCUCAAACGUGGAACUGCUUGGUGUACUGCCGGGCUCGAGGUUGGUAGAGGUGCCUGGAACUCUAGGUGGAGCGGUGAAAUGCGUAGAUAUCUAGAGGAACGCCCGUGGCGAAAGCGGGGCACUGGGCCAACCCUGACGCUGAGACGCGAAAGCGUGGGGAGCAAACGGG